CAUUAUAGCAGGCGGCCGGGAGACAAGUGAGAUGCUUCUGUCCUUUGAUUAGGUUGGAAGUUUGCAGGGUCAGCUUUCCUUGGUCGUCGUGGUGAGUACGCAGCGACGUGCCAUAGAGAAAUUACAGCUGAUUCCAAAAUCACUUGGAAAAGUGUUUUAUGGUCCAAGAUUUGUGGGAACAGAGGGGAGGAAGACAUUCCAGGAUAUUUUCGUAAACCGGUUCACCAAGGACUGAAACCCAUGCCAGUGAUUUACUGCACCUCCCCUGCAUCCUGGCACACCGCCCAAGUAUUAAUCCGCUGUGCAUUUCAGUCUCGAGCAAGAGUUUGUGCUGAAGCCGUGAGUUUUCCCAAGAAAGCAGAGAUGAGACACAUGUACCAGGUGGAAGCGCACAGCGAGUCCUGUCCUUGCGAGGUGGCGUUCUCAGCAGCUCUGCCACAGUCUGGUAAGAAGCAGCCGCCUCUACACAGACUGAGGUUUCGGAGAUGCUCAAAGAUGACGCCUCACGGGAGUGGAGACGAUGCUGUCGCCCUGCAACUCCCUCCAGGACCCCAUGGCCCCAGCCCCUCUGCAGCUCCCUCCUGCAUCAGUGCAAGAGGGCACAGGCUUCCGAAGCUGGCGUCAGGGGGGAAUUGUUCUUCUCAUGGCACAUCUCAGCCAGCUGGGUAA
rnacentral:lncRNA from 1 species